UUAACGUUCGGGUCGGCGUCCGUUAGUCCCAGCGGAGGUGGGACGUGGAUCAGAAUCGCGUGUCCCCGCCUGGUCCAUGGCCCUGGAAGUUAGCUUUUCCGUCGGGUGGGGACAGGCAGACAAAUUGAUUGCAGGAUCCAGAGUGUUCUUUGCCCAGAGCGGUGCUCAUUUGGAAACAGGGGAGUCUUCGGCGGAGAGAGAAGAGCGCCGGCGGCGAUCCACCAUGGAGUUUCCGAUGCAUCCAAGCGGCAGAUCCAGUGUCCUUGAGGAACUAGGAGAGAGCUUGGUGCAAUGGUGCCGGCCGCUGUAGCGCCUGGGCUGAGGGGAGGUGCUACGGUGGAAGAGCAGCAGGUGUAGCAGCCAGGAGCGGUGGAUAGCGCGGACGCUCAGAUUUUCGCCACCAAUGAAGCGCUGGUGUGCAGGAGGGAUAAUCGCCUGGUUGGACUAAGAGGCUGGGGAUUAGGGCUGAGGCACCGAGAAGAACACCCUGCCCAAUCGCGUCAGUGUGUUUGAGAAGGCUAUUCGGAGUUAUGCCGACAAUCCAGCCGAGAAUGUGAUCACACCAGUGCUUGGCACUACUUUCAGACUCUUUAGGUGAGGCUUGUGACUUCUAUAAUUUGUACUCAUGGGCGAAAGGCUUCGGCAUCCGAUAUGAGAAGAGCCGGCUGAAUGUCGAGAGGACGAAUGCAUGCGGGAAAUAGUGUUAAUUCAGUUAAUCUCGGGAAGGGAGUGUGGUGCGGAUGGCUUUAGGGAGGGACAGAUCCCCACAAGUCUCGGAACUCUCCACGGUGAAGAUGAAUCCACAUGCCCCUGGAUGGAACAAGAGGUAAGCCUGAUGCUUGUUAGUUCAUUCCACCGUAGGACAUAGGAGGCGAAUUCAGUAUGGCAGGCAGGUGGAAUGAUUUAGCGUAGUAAUGGAUGUGCAAAAAGAAUUUAGGUAUGGCCAGGUAGGUGUUGAAAAACCAUCAUGUGGAAUGGAAAGGAAGUUUGUGUGGGCUGUAGUAUGGUGAAGCACAUGCCAGUUUCUGGGCUGAAAAAAUUGUACAGAUUUAGAUGCAGGCAAGUUCUGGCAUUCCUGUAGGUAAGAGCCACAAAAUUUUAGUUGCA